UACGUAGGGUGCAAGCGUUGUCCGGAAUUAUUGGGCGUAAAGAGCUCGUAGGCGGUUUGUCGCGUCGAAUGUGAAAACCCGGGGCUCAACUCCGGGCCUGCAUUCGAUACGGGCAGACUAGAGUUCGGUAGGGGAGACUGGAAUUCCUGGUGUAGCGGUGAAAUGCGCAGAUAUCAGGAGGAACACCAAUAGCGAAGGCAGCUCGCUGGGACGGUACUGACGCUGAGGCGCGAAAGCGUGGGGAGCGAACAGG
rnacentral:rRNA from 1 species